AUUGAACGCUAGCGGCAGGCCUAACACAUGCAAGUCGAGCGGAUGAAGAGAGCUUGCUCUCUGAUUCAGCGGCGGACGGGUGAGUAAUGCCUAGGAAUCUGCCUGGUAGUGGGGGACAACGUUUCGAAAGGAACGCUAAUACCGCAUACGUCCUACGGGAGAAAGUGGGGGAUCUUCGGACCUCACGCUAUCAGAUGAGCCUAGGUACGAUUAGCUAGUUGGUGAGGUAAAGGCUCACCAAGGCGACGAUCGUUAACUGGUCUGAGAGGAUGAUCAGUCACACUGGAACUGAGACACGGUCCAGACUCCUACGGGAGGCAGCAGUGGGGAAUAUUGGACAAUGGGCGAAAGCCUGAUCCAGCCAUGCCGCGUGUGUGAAGAAGGUCUUCGGAUUGUAAAGCACUUUAAGUUGGGAGGAAGGGCAGUAAGUUAAUACCUUGCUGUUUUGACGUUACCGACAGAAUAAGCACCGGCUAACUUCGUGCCAGCCGCCGCCGUAAUAC
rnacentral:rRNA from 1 species